rnacentral:tRNA from 1 species
AUUAAUUAGGCUGUUAAUUUUAGGCGCCCUUUUUUGCGUCUUGCGUUGAUAACGC